UACGUAGGGGGCAAGCGUUGUCCGGAUUUAUUGGGCGUAAAGAGCGUGUAGGCGGCCAGGUAGGUCAGCUGUGAAAACUCGAGGCUCAACCUCGAGACGUCGGUUGAAACCACCUGGCUAGAGUCCGGAAGAGGAGAGUGGAAUUCCUGGUGUAGCGGUGAAAUGCGCAGAUAUCAGGAAGAACACCCGUGGCGAAGGCGGUCUCUGGGACGGUACUGACGCUGAGACGCGAAAGCGUGGGGAGCGAACAGG
rnacentral:rRNA from 1 species